GAUGGCUGGCUCUCUCUUACACCUCUGAUUAAAUCUUCACAAAUUAUGCAAGGAUAAUGCACCUAUCUUGCUGAAUGCAGAAUCUAACUUCUCUUAGGAUAUCCAACAAAUAAAUCAUUUGCUGCCAUUGUUCUCCGUUGUUGAUAGGUUGGAUGCUGUAUUGAAUAAGAAACUAACUACAGAUAAAAAGAAUAUUUGAAAAAAGUCUGCAGCCUCUUAGCUGCCCAUGGAAAAGAAAAUGACAUGAAUAAGAAGACCUCAGACAAUUUCUAGGAGAUGAGCAUUUCAAGUACCUUGCCGUUGACCUGUCUUCUUAUCUUUGGGUAGAAUAAUCUCAAUCACAUUUCCAUAUUCUUGAAACAAAGCACGAAUCUAAGGUGAAUGAGAAGUACCCAAAAGUUAUUCAAAUGACUAAAUGUAAUAAGUAGCACAGACAAACAAGCAAUGCACAGAAGUUACACAAAUUAAUAGUUAUAGGAAGCCAAAGUAAUGCUAACAAUUUCAACAAGAAGAUCAUAAAAAUUGCUGUAGCUUUUAAACUCUAUCCACCUCAUGAAAAAAGAAUGGACCAUAACUUUUCAGUGAUACCAAUGAUAUCAAGUCUAAUAAUAAAUACUAAUCUCCCCUUCCUCCCUCUUGUUCUUUGUGAGAAUCUCUUUAUUAGUAGGUAUUGUCUCAACGACACCGGAUUGGAGAGUGUAUACUUAUGAACAUCAAACACAAAUGAUUCAUAGGCCUGAAGAUAAUUGCUGAGUAGAGUAAUAUAAAAGUAAAGCGGGGAGAAAGGGAAGGAGGGAAUCCUCUCCAUUCUUUCCAUUGUUUGGAUAAAUUAAGAACUCGUGAAGGAAAAGAGAGUUAGAGUACACUAAAUUGUGUUGUACCUUUAAUUGCUUAUCGUGACAUUUUUAUUAAUAACGUACAUUAUUGACAAUUUUUUACCACAAAUACAU
rnacentral:lncRNA from 1 species